AUACUUACCUGACAGGGGAAGAUACCAUGGUCACGAAAGUAGUUUUCCCGAGGCACAGCUUAUCAUUUGCAUCUGAAUAUGCUGACCCCUGUGAUUUCUCCAAAUAGAGGAAACUCAACUGCAUAAUCUAUGGUAGUGGGGGACUGUGUUCAUACUCUCCCCUU
rnacentral:snRNA from 1 species